rnacentral:misc_RNA from 1 species
GAUGAAGAACGUAGUGAAAUGCGAUAAGUAAUGUGAAUUGCAGAAUUCAGUGAAUCAUCGAAUCUUUGAACGCACAUUGCGCCCCUUGGUAUUCCGGGGGGCAUGCCUGUUCGAGCGUCAUUAUAACCCCUCAAGCUCAGCUUGGUGUUGGGGCCUGCCAACUGGCAGCCCUUAAAAUCAGUGGCGGCGCCAUCUGGCUCUAAGCGUAGUAAUUUCUCUCGCUAUAGGGUCCCGGUGGAUGCUGGCCAGCAACCCCCAAUUUUCUAUGGUUGACCUCGGAUCAGGUAGGGAUACCCGCUGAACUUAAGCAUAUCAAUAAGCGGAGGA